UACGUAGGGGGCAAGCGUUGUCCGGAAUCAUUGGGCGUAAAGAGCGUGUAGGCGGCCAGAAAAGUCCGCUGUGAAAACUCGAGGCUCAACUUCGAGCUGUCGGUGGAAACUUUCUGGCUAGAGUCCGGAAGAGGAGAAUGGAAUUCCUGGUGUAGCGGUGAAAUGCGCAGAUAUCAGGAGGAACACCGGUGGCGAAGGCGGGUCUCUGGGCAGUAACUGACGCUGAGGAGCGAAAGCGUGGGGAGCGAACAGG
rnacentral:rRNA from 1 species